rnacentral:lncRNA from 1 species
GUGUUUCGAGGGGCCAAGGAAGCGGGUGUUGGUCCCAGUGUGCGUAAACGGACAACGACAUCUGGGAGUUGGGCAGUGAGGAGAGAGAAGAGUGUGUCCAGGAGGAACCUGCCUGGAGGAGGCCUAGCGGUGUGUGUGCGCCUAGGUGUAUACCGGGGCGUUGGUGACUUCGAGAGGCACCGGGCGGGAUCGAUCCUCUCUGCGUCCUGGACCUGGUGCUGGUGUGUUUCGGGGAAGUUACUGCUUAUGAACCCCCCUUGGAGCGUGGCCUGGGGGCAGGAAGGCUUCCGCGCUGGGACCCCUGGGUCGCGAUACCUCCCUCGGACUGGAGCUGCUUUGCAUAUUCAUGGAUCACAGAGCUUGUGUUCUUGCAACCCUGUUUACUAACCUAUGAGGAUUUUUUAAUUUGAGAGCCCUCAAAUGGGCCAGUGGUCUAGUCAGCAUUGGGAAAUGAAGAUGAUGAGAUCCUGUAACUCGGAAAAGAUAUCAGAGGAAUGUUCGUGGCAUCAGAGAGAAAGAUGAGAGCUCACCAGGUGCUCACCUUCCUCCUGCUCUUCGUGAUCACCUCGGU